rnacentral:rRNA from 1 species
UACAGAGGGUGCGAGCGUUAAUCGGAAUUACUGGGCGUAAAGCGCGCGUAGGCGGCUUUGCAAGUCGGGUGUGAAAGCCCCCGGCUCAACUGGGGAGGGUCAUUCGAUACUGCUCGGCUCGAAGACAGGAGAGGGAAGUGGAAUUCCCGGUGUAGUGGUGAAAUGCGUAGAUAUCGGGAGGAACACCAGUGGCGAAGGCGACUUUCUGGCCUGUUCUUGACGCUGAGGCGCGAAAGCUAGGGGAGCAAACGGG